GAUAUUGGAAUCGUUCGCGAUGUCAACGCUGUAAAAAAAAAGUGGGCGGACAUCAAAUCUAUUGUAAAAAAGAAGGGAACGGAGAGGGCAAGAGAGUUGAAAAAAACUGGAGGAGGGAAGACCACAAUCCAGCUGGACCCACUGGAGGAGAAAUUGUUGGGGGCGAUUGCCGAAACGUUAGUUGAAGGAGUAGGUGGAGGAGUGGACACCGGAGAACCGGGAGAAGACGAUAGCCUGCAAGCAGGAGAUUCUUUGGUCGUAAUAGCAGUCAACCAGGAUGCAGAACAAUCCCACGCAUUCAAUGCAGCUGAACCAACACAAGCCCUCACAAAUCAUCAAAACCUGUUACAGAGUCCCGGGGAUGACCUGACAUUAUCACAGCUAAUCUCGGAAACCUUUCAUACACCUGCCACAUCCAGAAGCAACACAGAGGACAUGGUCUCCCUUCAGCGUCAGCUUUUGGAGGAAGUUAAAAUGCUGAGGCAUACUCAGGAGCAACUUCUGCAGGUGGAGAGGGAAAAGCUGCUCGUCGAGAGGGAGAAGCUUCGCCUUGCCCAAGCCAAGUUUGAUUUAAAAAAAAAAGAGUGUUGAACCUAGAAUAAAAUAGCAAUCACUGAGAGGUU